AUAUCAGCAAGUCUGUUUAAAGCUGGUAAUAGUGAUGCCAUUUUAUGAACCUCAAGGAUAGCUGAGGUCAUUAAGGUCCCUAAAAAUGGCUACAAUA
rnacentral:snoRNA from 1 species